GCGAGUGGCGAACGGGUGAGUAAUGUAUCGGAACGUACCCAGUCGUGGGGGCAUAUACAUCUCCGAAAGGAGAGCUAAUACCGCAUACGUCCUGAGGGGGUGUAAAGCGGGGGACCUGCAAAGGCCUCGCGCGAUUGGAGCGGCCGAUAUCGGAUUAGCUAGUUGGCGGGGUAAAUGUCCACCAAGGCGACGAUCCGUAGCGGGUCUGAGAGGACGACCCGCCACACUGGAACUGAGACACGGUCCAGACUCCUACGGGAGGCAGCAGUGGGGAAUUUUGGACAAUGGGGGCAACCCUGAUCCAGCCAUUCCGCGUGAGUGAAGAAGGCCUUCGGGUUGUAAAGCUCUUUCAGCAGGAGCGAAACGGUCGUUUUUAAUACAGACGGCUAAUGACGGUACCUGCAGAAGAAGCACCGGCUAACUACGUGCCAGCAGCCGCGGUAAUACGUAGGGUGCGAGCGUUAAUCGGAAUUACUGGGCGUAAAGCGUGCGCAGGCGGCGACAUAAGACAGAUGUGAAAUCCCCGGGCUCAACCUGGGAACUGCGUUUGUGACUGUGUUGCUAGAGUGUAGCAGAGGGGGGUGGAAUUCCACGUGUAGCAGUGAAAUGCGUAGAUAUGUGGAGGAACACCGAUGGCGAAGGCAGCCCCCUGGGUUAACACUGACGCUCAUGCACGAAAGCGUGGGGAGCAAACAGGAUUAGAUACCCUGGUAGUCCACGCCCUAAACGAUGCCAACUAGGUGUUGGGGAAGGAGACUUCCUUUAGUUACCCGUAGCCUAAACGCCGUGAAAGUUUGGCCCGCCUGGGGGAAGUACGGGUUCG
rnacentral:rRNA from 1 species